AGCCUAUCACCGGCAGAGGUGGGACAUCGCUGUGGCCGGUGAUAGGCUGAGCACCGUCCCCAGGAAGCAGCAUGAAGAUCGCAGCAGAGAACAGUGAAUUAGGAAAGCAAGGCAAAAGUUCAGGUGAUAUUAUCAGUGUCUCAACCCAGUGUCUUUAAGAAGAUCCAGCACCAAGCACGGAUAGGAAAUAGUCACUCUGCAGUGUAUACAUUCCUAGGACAAAGAACAGAGUGGAAAUUUAUCAACGUCUGCCCUCCAUUCCCACCUGACUACAAAAACAAACCAGUGCAGCCAAGCAGAGCUGCAAGAAGAGCAGCACCAAGUCUGUGCUGUGAACAAGAACUUCCUACCCGGAAAGUACACUGUCCUCACAGACAUCCAUCCUACUGGGCUCGACCAAGAGUUCCUCCAAUUGUUUAAAUUGCCAGCUACAGAUUUGGC